rnacentral:rRNA from 1 species
CCGUCGACUAUAUUAAAGGCACGCCUGCCCAGUGAAUAUUUAACGGCCGCGGUACCCUAACCGUGCAAAGGUAGUAUAAUCAUUUGUCUAUUAAUUGUAGACCGGCAUGAACGGCAAACUGAGGGCCUAACUGUCUCUUAUAGUAAAUCAAUUAAACUGAUCUCCUAGUAAAAAAGCUAGAAUAAUAACAUAAGACCAGAAGACCCUGUGAAGCUUAAACUAAACCAUUAAAUCAAAUAAUGAUUACUUUCGGUUGGGGCGACCCUGGAAAAAAAAAGAACUUCCAUCUGUGUACCCGCACAACAGGCCCACAAGCCACACACUUGACCCAGCAUAGCUGAUAAUCGAACCAAGUUACUCCAGGGAUAACAGCGCCAUCUUCUUCAAGAGCCCAUAUCAAAAAGAAGGUUUACGACCUCGAUGUUGGAUCAGGACAUCCUAAUGGUGUAGCCGCUAUCAAGGGUUCGUUUGUUCAACGAUUAACAGUCCUACGUGAUCUGAGUUCAGACCGGAGA